rnacentral:rRNA from 1 species
GACGUAGGGCGCAAGCGUUGUCCGGAUUUAUUGGGCGUAAAGAGCUUGUAGGCGGUCUGUCGCGUCUGCUGUGAAAAUCCGGGGCUCAACUCCGGACUUGCAGUGGGUACGGGCAGGCUAGAGUGUGGUAGGGGAGACUGGAAUUCCUGGUGUAGCGGUGAAAUGCGCAGAUAUCAGGAGGAACACCGAUGGCGAAGGCAGGUCUCUGGGCCGAUACUGACGCUGAGGAGCGAAAGCGUGGGGAGCGAACAGG